rnacentral:rRNA from 1 species
UACAGAGGGUGCUAGCGUUGUUCGGAAUCAUUGGGCGUAAAGGGCGUGUAGGCGGUUUGUUAAGUCAUGUGUGAAAUCCCUCGGCUCAACCGGGGAACGACGCAUGAAACUGGCAAGCUAGAGUACCAAAGAGGGGGGUGGAAUUCCCGGUGUAGCGGUGAAAUGCGUAGAUAUCAGGAGGAACACCGGUGGCGAAGGCGGGGUCUCUGGGCAACAACGUGACGCUGAGGAGCGAAAGCGUGGGGAGCGAACAGG